CUGGGUUUGACAUGCACAGGACGNCUGCAGAGANGUGGNUUCCCUUGUGGCCUGUGUGCAGGUGGUGCAUGGCUGUCGUCAGCUCGUGUCGUGAGAUGUUGGGUUAAGUCCCGCAACGAGCGCAACCCUUGUCUCAUGUUGCCAGCGCGUUAUGGCGGGGACUCGUGAGAGACUGCCGGGGUCAACUCGGAGGAAGGUGGGGAUGACGUCAAGUCAUCAUGCCCCUUAUGUCCAGGGCUUCACACAUGCUACAAUGGCCGGUACAAAGGGCUGCGAUGCCGUGAGGGGGAGCGAAUCCUUUCAAAACCGGUCUCAGUUCGGAUCGGGGUCUGCAACUCGACCCCGUGAAGUCGGAGUCGCUAGUAAUCGCANAUCANCAACCUGCGGUGAAUA
rnacentral:rRNA from 1 species